rnacentral:lncRNA from 1 species
UUUGUAAUAUACCGAAAAUUCGGAAAAUAAAAAUGUCGAACUUUAGUCAAAUUGACCAAAGUGCGAGGAUGGAACACUUCGGAAAGUCCGAAGGUGUUAAAAUGAUUAAAAGUGAGUUGUGGAAGGUUUUCGAGAGCUAAAGAAUUGAAUUCUGCGAAACUGCAGAUUUUCAGCUCUCGGGGACCGGUCCCUGAAGGGAGAGA